rnacentral:rRNA from 1 species
UACGGAGGGUGCAAGCGUUAUCCGGAUUCACUGGGUUUAAAGGGAGCGUAGGUGGCUUUGUAAGUCAGUGGUGAAAUAUUGCGGCUCAACCGCAAAACUGCCAUUGAUACUGCUUAACUUGAAUCACGUCGAGGUGGAUGGAAUAAUACAUGUAGCGGUGAAAUGCUUAGAUAUGUAUUAGAACACCGAUUGCGAAGGCAGUUCACUAGGCGUGUAUUGACACUGAGGCUCGAAAGCGUGGGGAUCAAACAGG